UUAUAGGCAACGAAAGGAAAAUAGUAGUGUUUUAUCUCCCUGUUACAGCGAGCUGAUGGUAGGUGCGAAUCAGCCAAAGAUAAGCAUGAAUUACACUCCUGGAGCUUCUUUUUCAAAGGUGAAAAAGACGGUCAUUUGAUCGUUAACAAUGUUAAGAGGUGGACAGAAGUUAUGUUCACAAUAUGGGUGGUACCACGGUGAGAAUCGUCCCUGUC
rnacentral:ncRNA from 1 species